rfam:Triticum urartu cultivar G1812 contig682252, whole genome shotgun sequence.
CUUGUACUUCCUCCGUUCCGAAUUACUUGUCUUAGAUUUGUCUAGAUACGGAGGUAUCUAGCACUAAAAUGAGUCUAGAUACAUCCGUAUCUAGACAAAUUCAAGACAAGUAAUUCGGAACGGAGGGAGUACCUC